GUCCAUGGCCAUGCCACCCUGAACAAGCCCGAUGUCUGAUCUCGGAAGCUAAGCAGGGUCAGGCCUGGUUAGUACUUGGAUGGGAAACCACCUAGGAAGACCAGGUGCUCUAGGCA
rnacentral:rRNA from 1 species